ACCUCGGAUCAGGUAGGGAUACCCGCUGAACUUAAGCAUAUCAAUAAGGCGGAGGAA
rnacentral:rRNA from 1 species